UGCUAUUAUAAUAACACAUAUAGAGUAUAUUAUUCUUGUUCUUAAUUUCUUUCUCUCAUUAUAAUUAAUUAUUAUGUGUAUAUGUAGGAAAACUAAGCUGGCCAGAACUUAUUGGUGUACCAACAAAGCUUGCUAAGGAAAUAAUUGAGAAGGAAAAUUCACUCAUAACUAAUGUUCAGAUACUACUGAAUGGUUCUCCAGUCACAAAGGAUUUUAGUUGUAAUCGAGUUCGUCUUUUUGAUAACAUUUUGGGUGAUGUUGUAGAAAUGCCUGUGGUUAGUUAAUUAAUGGAUUACUGAAGCAAUUAAGUAGCCACAUGUAAAAAAUAAUUAGGGUUCAUGUAUGUUCAUUAUAAUGUCUCCAUGUACUCUUACUAUAUAUAAUGAAAUAAAUAAGUGUGGCUUCAUUAAAUGUAAUCUUCUUAAUUAAAUCCUUUUACAUAUUGUGCAUUACUUUGGUUGUUUCUAUUUGUUUGUAUGAUUUUGAUUCGACACAUAAUUAAAGAAAGUAAACUAGGAUUUUAAUUCUUGUGGUUGAAUAAAUAAUAUGUGGAAUGUAUCAAAAAUGAUAUUUAAUCUUGUAAUUUUAAACAUGUCAGGUAGAAAAUUAAAAUUAAAAUUAAAAGAGUUAUCAUAAAAGAAAAAGAUAUUUUUUCUAAACAAAGUAAGACAUAAAGUAAACAAACAAAUUAAAUUGGAGAGAGUAUUUGUCUUAUUUGAAUAAUCUCAUGACCAAACGGCUAAAUCUCAUGGUAGUCUGUCUUCAAAGAUAUUCAAAGUUUAUUAUUUAUCAAUAAAAACUAAUAUUUUAUCGUAUAUAAACUAUAAUUUUCCAAUUAAGAGUAUUUGUUAGGCGUUAUUCCUUCAUUGUUUUUUUUCUUCUUCUUGUUAUUUUGUCAGUUUGUAUUUGUGUUUUCUUGUUUGUGAAGUGUAUAUAUUUUCAAGUAAGAUUUAUCCUUAAAAUAUUGGGUUCUCAUAAUUCCAAAAAUCAAUUGCUCUGAAUCUCUAUUUAAGAUUUUAACAUCUUUGGGACCAUAUAUUUAAUUAAUGUGUGGUAACUAGGAUUUGAAUUGUAAUUGUCAAACUAGUCCCCCAACCCCCACUCCCUCCCCACCACACCCCAAAAAUUAAAAAUAAAAGGUGACAAUAUGUUAUACUUUCUUUGCAACAAAUUAAGAAGGUUGAGGGACCAAUAGUAAACAAAAAUAUCAUUAUAGGUGUGGAAAGAUAAAUAUGUAUUUAUCUUUAAUGAAUUUUUUUUAAUUUAUGCAUUGCAUAUAUAAGAAAACUCCUCAGUAUAAAUUUCUAUUAAUUGAACCCAAAAGCGAAUAUCAAAUACCGAAUAAAAAACUUAAAAAAAGUAAACAAAAAUAAUGAUACACAAUUGAGAAGAAUACAAAAUCUAGCUAGCCUUGUUAUAAAAUAAAGAAGUCAAAUUGCCAAUAAAUUAAUUAAGGUUUUUUUGGUUCCUCCUAUUUUGAGGCAAUUUUAUUGAGUUUUUUUUUUUUUUUAAAAUGAAAGAAGUUUGUCUUUUAGAAUUUUGAACUACUCCCUCCCUUCACUUUUACUUGUCACUUUUGAGAUAUCAAGAAAAUAUAAUAAUUUUUUUUCCAUAUUUUACCUUCAACAUGAAAUACUUAUUUUUCAAGACAUCAUUUAAUUGGGUUAGUUUGGUAAAAUACCUAUAUCAAUAAUUAUUUUAUUAAUGAAUGUGACAAAUCAAAGUGUGACAAGUAAAAGUGAACAAAGGGAGUACUUUAAAUGAUUUUAUUUCAUUUAAAUCCAAAAGUUUAUUUAAACAAGAUUAUUCCCCAUUUAAAAGACAAUAAUAAAAAUUCAGCAUAAUGCUCCAACCUUUAUAUUUCCAAUUUCUAAGGAAGAAAAUUAUUUCGUAAGCCUUUUUUUUUUGGUAAAGAAUAAAUUUUUUCAUUAAGCAUAAUCAAGAUCUUCUAUGUUAUUUUUUAGUAAUCUCCCAUUACAAAAACCAUAAAAUUAAACUAGAAAAUAUUUAUAACGACUAUAAAACUAAAUCUCCCAUUUCAUUCUUGUCGAAUUCAUAAUUUACAAAAUAGUAGAAUCAAUGGACAGUGGAUGUCCCCCACAUAUUACGUUUGUAUUCAAUUUUUCCUGUCCUCCUUCACAUUCUGCGUGUAAUUUUUUUUUUUAAAAAUAGUUCUGUCCUAAUUAGUGGCUUUAAAGGAAAAGACUAUUUUGUCCCUUAUCUACAAAUUGUCAAACAUGUAUCCAUGAAUACAAUAUUGAGAAAAUCAAUGUCAUCGAUGUAUUUAUCAUUCAAAAAUUAUUCCAAUGUAUCUACGAAUAUGGAUAAACAAGUAAAAAUAAAUUGUAACGACCUAAUUUCCGUCGUUAUGAAAAAGCCAAUGGGGAAAGAAUUGGGGCCAGAUUUUUUCCCCCAUAGUAACUUGGAAUUUCCCAACCUAGUCUAGAUUUGGACAAAAUCGGAGUCAUUAAGGUGUAGGGAAAUCUGGUAACAAAUGAGAGAUCUAUUAAUGAAUAUGAUUACAUGAGUGGAUAGUUAAGACGUUAAGGAUCCCGUACGACUUUACGGAAUUGAAUUCGGGCGAGUAGAACUCCCGGAAUCGAUCUUGGCGUAAUGUGUAUUUUUUGAGCGUCGUUGGUUAGAGGUGUACUGUGAAAUGGGAAUUUUGGAAUUCUUGAAUUAACUCUCUGUCUCGAGAAUGCCGCUUUGGCGCUGGAAUUCGCCGCUCUGGCGGGGCAGCUAAAGCGGGAUGAGGGCCGUUGUGGUGGGCUCGACUCGACUUAAGGUCGUUAAUAAACCCCUAAACGACCUUAUUAUGCACUUUUUGAUUUUUAGAGCUAAGGUACGAACCCCAGGUGACUCCUACACGUUUUUCAUCAUUCUUGAGGCUAAAGGUAAGUUUUUCACUCCCCGAAUCCGUUUUUCGAUAUGUAGAAUGUAAUAGAAUGGGUGAAUAUUGAUGGGGGAGGGUUUUGUUCUGUGAUUUAUGGUGGAAGAAACCCUAAUCUAGGUAUGGGAAUCAAGGGUUUGUCUAGGGUUAUUGGGUUUGUUAUAAUCCGGAUAAUUAGACCUUUGAUUGUUGAUCCUUGCGUAUAAAUUGUUGGUUUUAGACCACGAACAAGCAGGAAGAAUCUAGAAAGGGAAGAUUCAAGUGCCAUAGAGGAUUCAAGCUUGGAUUCGAGGUAGGUGAUGGUUAUGAUUUCAUGUUGGUGUGAUAUAUGUUUGUAAUUGCUUCAUUAUAAUGCAUGUAUGUAUGCGAAUGUUGCAUUAUUGAUCACCCUAAUCGUAAAUGAGGAUAAUUGAAUAAUUGUAUGCCAUGAAUCAACUCUUGUUGUAUGAUUGUGAGAAUAUACAUUGUGAUUGUGAUUGUGGUUUGUUGAAUGGGCGGGUGCCACGAUCCGACACACUAACUGGGAUCGAUUACCACGUUCCGGCAUAAAUAUGGGAUCGAUUGCCACGUUUUGGCAUAAAUAUGAGAUCGGUUGCCACGUUCCGGCAUAAACAUGGGAUCGGUUGCCACAUUCGGACACACUAAUUUGGAUCGGAUACCACGAACCGGUAUGCUAACGGUUUGGGUUUGGGUUUCAUGAGAGUACCAUUGAAUUGUGUUGUGUAUCUACUUGUGAUGAUUACGUUCAUAUACAAUGAUGAUUGAUACUGAAAGACUGUAUGUUGCUCUAAAUUGAUAUAACUGUGAUAUGUGAGAAUCGUGAAACUGUUUGUUGUUCGUAAUAGUUGACUAAUAUUGUAUAUGUUCGGUAUAUGCCUGUUUUAUAAUGAUUGUGGUUACUUGCAUGUGUUUCACCUAUUGGGAUAGCCGCGUGAUCCUACCAGUACACAAUGAUUGCGUACUGAUACUGCACUUGCUUGUUCUUUGUUGAGUACACGACAUCUUCAGGCGGUUAUUGAUAGGCCUCAACUAGGUGACUGUUGAGCGUGAUCGGAUUCAAGGGUGAGCCAGUUCUUUCAGGCUGCUAUGGAUCUUUCUUGUUUAAGUCCACUCUUUUUGGACUCAGACUAUUUGUUUAAGGUGUUUGUUUAGUUUCGGGGUUGUACCUCUUGUUCUUAGACUUGUCUUUCGUAGAGUUUUGGUACAAUGACUUUCAGAUUUCAGGGGUUGAAUUUCCGCAUUGUUAGUUUAUUAAUGUUAGACUUUUGUUAGAGUUUAUGGGAACUCUAUUUCUUUCCUUAGUAUUUUUCCUGCUUUUGUGUACUAAAAUGCCUUAGUUUUGGUUUAGUUGCUUGGUUUGAGUUGUAAUAGUGGUUCUCCCACCGAAGGGUUAGUGCGGGUGCCAAUCACGACGGUCUGGGUCGUGACAUAAAUAAAGAAAUUAAAUAAUACUAGUUGAUUUGGCUGUGUUUUUUCAAUAAGGAGAAUAAAAUCUCCAAAAGGGAAUUGGGGUCGAUAGCCAAUAAUUGCAUAUUUGAACCAUUUGACUAACAAUAGAGUUAUGAGUCAAACUUUUUACAUGACAGAUAAAAUUACUCCAUAUAAAAUAAAGAUAUAUUUAAUCCUUUUUCCAUUUUCUUAAAAAGUUCACAAAAUAGGUUCACUUUCUAUCGGUAUAAAAAAAAUCUCGAAUAUAAUCAUAAAAUUUAAAUAUUUUUCACUCAAAUGGCGAUCAUUAAGUUUGAGGGUUGCUCUAUUCUAGUCCUUGUAUAUAUAAAAAUAUAACUUUUUUUACCCAAAUUCUUCUUCUUCUUUUUUUGGUUUAAAAGAAAUUCCUCUUAUUAAUUUAUUAUUAUAAAAAUACAAAAGAAGAAAUAAUUUUAUCAAUUACAUAAUAAAAUAUCAGAGAUGUCUAAAGAGUUAAUGCAUGGUUGGUAUAUUGGAUUCACACGCAACUAAAUAAAUUGAAAGGCAGAAUAAUUAGGAGCAAUAUAUCAAUAUAAAAAAUACUUACAAUUAUAACACAUUUAUUAUGUAUUUUAUAUAGUGACAAAAUAACUCAUGAAGAAGAACAUGUCAUUAGGGGACCAUAGCAAUUUUACUUUUGGUAUCAUCUCUUUUUUAGUUUUUUGUUUAUGUUUCCUUCCUUCAAUUCCAUCACAAUAAAAAUUUAAAAAUUUAGCUAUGAAAUUAUUAUUAAUUUGUCAUUUAAUAGCUCAUAAUAAAUAUUUCUUAUGAUAAUUUGUCAUUAGAUAAAAUAAUUGUUAUAAGAUAUCAAAUACGCUCUCCGUCUCAAGUGAAAUUUAGCUAUUCGAGAUUCAAAUUAUGAAAACUUUAACUUACAUUUUCAAAAAUAUUUUUUCAUUAUAUUGACAUGAGAAGAAUUGCAUUAUAUAGUACUUUUUUAACAUUAAAAAAGGGUUAGGGGAAGUAAUAAACUACACAUUGUACUCAUUAAUUUUUUAAUAAACAUGAUUUUUUCUUAAAUAACACUUAUUUUAGAGCAAAGAAAAUAGUACAAUUGAAUCUGGAUGAGUGAAAAUUGUAAACAUAAAGAAUAUGUAUAAAUGCAUGCAUGGUUGAAAGGUAUAAUAAUUAGAAACAAUAUAUCAAUAUCAAGUACCUAUAAUUAUAAACCAUAUUUUUGUAUGUUCUAUAUACUGACAAAAUGACUAAUGAAUAAAGGACCAUAUUUUUUUAAUAAAAAAAUAUCCCUUUCUUUUUCUCCUUUUGUUUUUCUUUUUACAAGCACCAACUUGAUAAACAAUGAGAAUUAUUAGUGUUGUAAAAAGAAUAAGAAUGAUUUUGUUUCUUAUAUUUUAAUUAAAAAAUGAUAAAUAUAUCCUUGAACUAUCAUAAAUAAUAUGCUAAUACCCUACGUUAUACUUUAAGGUUGGUAUAUACUCUUAUCGUUCUAAAGUAUAUAAAAAAAUUAAAAUUAAAAUAAUAGUUUAUUUAACUCUCAAACUUAGAAAAUCAUCACAUAUUGAGAUGGGAGAGUAAAAUAAUCUUUGGUUGCAUUAGCUUAAAGUUUGCGGCAUUAGAUUUCGUAUUCUUUUAUGAAGAAACGAUUUUCUUAUGAAUCAAACUUUUUUUUUACGCAGUUUUUAAAAUAUAUAAAUUUUAUAUCAAAAAAAUAAUUUUUUUAUAUCCAAAUGAUGUCACAUAAAUGCAUUGAGAUAAAUGAAAUAUUUUUUACGUGUAAAUUAGCAUACAAAAAUACUAAAACAUGAAAAUCAAGUAGAACGAAGCUUUCUAUAUUCCUUUGCACAAGAAUAAUAAGAACUUAUUCAAUUGAUCACGAUUUGAGAACUAGUUUAUGUAAUUACUGUUAGUGCGGUAUUUUAAUAAUUUAAGAAUUUACAUUUUUUGCAUUGCCACAUAGAUGUUGGUUUAUGGCCGUUGGUGCACUUUUCAUAUAUGUUACAUUAUGAUGGAUGAAUUGGCAGUUGAUUGUUGCCGUUGAAAAUAAUUAUUGCUGCAUCAUUACUCCAAAUGGAGUUAAUGUAUGUUACAAUUUUCUUGGUGCAUGCAGCAACUCCCAAGCCGUUGGUGGCUUAUGUGUCACUUUGUUUUUAUUCUUUAUUCCUUCAUUAUACCUUAUAACAUAUGUAACUCCUAAGACUAUUAUCUUCACUAUUUAGUACAUCAUUAUCUUUCUAUUUAUUCCUAGGACGACUUCUUUUACUAUAAAUAGUGGUGGUCUUCAUUUGUUUUACAUAUAGGAAAAUAUAGAGUGCAUAAAGUUUGUUAAAAAAAAAGAGAGUUCUUAUUAGUUGAAGGGAUGUGUUCUUUUUGUGGAGCUUUGGACUCAACUCUUGUCCAGAGUUGUUGAGUUAUCUUUUGUGAAUAGGCUGUUGUAUCCUGGAGGGGACAAGUCAAGAAGGACUACUGCUGGACCAGUGAAAAACAUUUGUUGUAGUAGGCUUGAAUCUCCUUAAAGAGAGCAAGAUAUCCGCGCCUCAGUCUGAAGAGAUUUAUUUUUUCAUUUUUAUUUUCAAUUGUAAUAUUGUAAUUCUGCUAUUUUGUAAUUUUUCACUAACAAUUUAAAGGAGAUUCAGUAAUGGCUACAAUUGAAAAAACCGCGGAUGUCAAGAUGGGAGACCUUAACAAGCCAUUUCGAUUCAAUGGUAACCAUUUCAAGAGAUGGAAGGGUAAAGUACUUUUCUACUUAAGUCUUCUCAAUGUUUCUUAUGUGUUAACUGAGAAGAAUCAUAAUAAAGUUGAUGACACCUCCAUGGAUGAUGAUGAACUUAUUUCUCAUCAUAAGAAAGUGGAAAAGUACGAUGGUGAAGAGGCAAGGGGCCAAUGUGCACUUUUACAAAAAGAAGAGAGCAACAUCACAACGAAGGUAAAUUUAAUUACUUCAAAUAAUGCUACUCUUGAAACUCACAAAAAUACUUCUUUGAAGCCUAAGAAGAAAUUUUUUAAAGAAAAAUAAUAGUAGACCUCCGAAGAAAAAUAAUGGUGAAAAUAACCAAGCACAAAAUCAACAAGUUCAAGAUAAGGGACCGUGCUUUGUUUGUGGCAAGAGUGGGCAUAUUGCUCGAUUUUACAGAUUCUGGAAACGUGGUCCUAACCCUCAGGCAAACGUUACCGAAGAACCUUUUGUGGCAGUGAUUACCGACAUAAACAUGGUUGAGAGUGUUGAUGGAUGGUGGGAUGAUUCUGGUGCAAACUGUCAUGUCUGUUAUGACAAAGACUGAUUUAAAAAAUAUGCUCAUUUUGAGGAGCCCAAAACCAUCAUGCUUGGUGAUUCUCGUACAACUCAAGUGCUUGGAACGGGAGAUGUCGAAUUGUGUUUUACUUCUGGAAGGGUAUUAACUUUGAAAGAUGUACUUUAUACUCCUUCCAUGAGAAAAAAUUUGACGUCUAGUUUUCUUCUUAAUAAAACAGGCUUUAAACAGAUUAUUGAAUCUGAUCAAACAAUAUGUCAUUGUGAAGAACGGUAUUUUUGUGAGAAAGGGGUAUGCUUCUGAUGGGAUGUUCAAAUUGAAUGUUGAAAAUAAUAAAGUUUCUAUUUAUGUUUAUAUGCUUUCUUCUACCAAUUUUUGGCAUGCUCGUUUGUGUCAUAUUAAUGAUCGUUAUGUUGGAAUCAUGAGUAGUUUAGGGCUAAUCCCAAUGGUUAAAAAGAAUUUGAAAAGUGUGAGGCUUGUAGUAAAGCCAAAAUCACUAGAAGGCCUUGUUUUCAAGUGGAAAGAAAACUGAUUUGUUAGAAUUAGUUCAUACUGAUAUUUGUGAACUUGGUGGAAUUUUAACUCGUGGAGGUAAUAGAUAGUUUAUCACUUUCAUUGAUGAUUUUUCUAUUUUUACAUAUGUUUACUUGAUGAAAAAUAAAAGUCAUGCUUUUGAAAAUUUCAAAACUUAUCUCCAUGAGGUUGAAAAUCAGUUUGGAAGUAAAAUAAAAAGAAUUAGAAGUGGUAGAGGCCGUGAGUAUGAGUCAAAUGAGUUUAAUUCUUUUGUUAGAUCAUUGGGAAUAAUUCAUGAAACUACUCCUUCUUAUUCUCAUUCAUCUAAUGGUGUAGCGGAAAGGAAAAAUAGAAUUUUGGUUGAAUUGACUAAUGCCAUGCUUAUUGAGUCACAUGCACCUUUAAAUUUUUGGGGUGAAGCUAUUUUGACUGCUUGUUAUGUGUUGAAUCGUGUGCCUCAUAAAAAGUCUAAAUUGACACUUUUUGAAUUGUGGAAAAGACACAAGCCAAGUAUCUAAGAGUUUGGGAUUGUUUAGCAUUUGUGAGGCUAAUGGAUCCCAAGAUUAUAAAGUUGGGUAAGAAAGUUACUACUUGUGCUUUUCUUGGUUAUGCUUUAAAUAGUACAGCCUAUAGAUUUUUUAAUCUUGAAGAUAAUAUUAUAAUUGAAUCAGGUGAUGCUAUUUUUCAUGAAGAUAAAUUUCCAUUUGAUUCUAAAAAUAAUGGGGGUCAAAGGAUUGAACAAAAUAUUUUGUCACUACCUAGUUCUUCUACUUCUACUUUGAAAAAUAAAGAAGUUAAUGAUUUUGAGUUAAGAAGAAGUAAAAGAGCUAGAGUAGAAAAAAUAUUUUGGUCCUGAUUUUUAUGUGUUUAAAUGUUAGAGAUGACCCUCUCACUUUGAAAGAAGCAUUAUCUUCACAUGAUUCUAUAUUUUUGGAAAGAGGCUAAUGAAAUGGAAUCACUAAUUUCUAAUAAAACUUGGAAGUUAGUUGAUUUCCACCGGGUUGUAAACUAUUGGUUGACAAAUGGGUCUUACGAAAAAAGUUGAAACCAGAUGGAUCAAUUGAUAAAUAUAGGCUAGGCUAGUUGCAAAAGGUUUUAAACAACUAGAAGACCUAGAAUUUUUUGAUACUUUUUCUCCGGUAACAAGAAUUACAUCUAUAAGACUUUUAAUUGCUAUGGCUGCAAUUUUUAAUUUGUAAAUUCAUCGAAUGGAUGUAAAAACUUCUUUAAAUGGAGACUUAAAUGAGGAAAUUUAUAUGGAACAACCCGAGUGUUUUGUGGAAGCAGGCCAGGAAAGCAAAGUGUGUAAAUUUACUAUAUCCCUAUAUGGCGUGAAACAGGCACCAAAGCAAUGACAUGAAAAAUUUGAUUCCUGCAUAAUUAAUAAUGGGUUUAAAACAAAUGAGUGUGAUAAGUGCAUUUAUCAUAAGUCUUGGAAUAAUUCACAUGUAAUUAUUUGCCUAUAUGUUGAUGAUUUGUUGAUCUUUGGCUCUAACAUGAAUGUUAUUGUCACGCCCCGAGCCUACACCCUGGGCGAAACUGGCACUCGAAGACCAUUGCUGGCCCUAAGCAAACCCUUGGCCUGACUUACUUAACUUAGCGGAAGACUUAACUCAUCACAUACACAUUCAUGAAGUAACUAGAAUGUUAUAAAAGAACAUUCAACUGGCCAUAAAGGCAAACUCAAGUCUUUAACAUAUGAAAUGAAAAGUAAAGACAACUGAAUUGACCAACUGACUGCCUAUCUGUCUAUGAAGCCUCUAAACAAUUGAGAUGGAUGUUGGGACAGGCCCACGACAUCCUAAUGAACUAAUACUAAAACUGAAAACAAUAAAUAGGAGUCCUCUGGAAUGCAAAGAGGCUCACCAACAAACUUUGAACUGCUCACUAGAUCAACGAUGCGCCGGAAUGCCGAUCCUAGUUACCUGUGUCUGCAUCAUCGAUGCAGGCUAACUGGCAUCAGUACAUUGAAUGUACGAGUAUGCGAGUUGGAAUGCUAAAACACCAUAGUCUUGAAAGAAUUUGAGAGAAACUGAAGAACUUACCUGGCUCAACUCAACUCAACAUGACUGAACUCAUUUCAAUAUAAAGCAGUUUAAAAGUAAGUGCAAUAUAAAGAAAAGCUGUUUAAAAACAUGAUAUCAACUCUGUGUGUAUAUAAAGAUACAAAUAACUCUGAGAUGUAUUUAAAAGUACAAUGAACAGAUGUAUAUAAAAAUAUAAUAACUUCUGUGGGAGUUUCUCUAACCGACAACCAUCACAUAAGAGCUAUAGUGAUGAUAUAACGAUCUACCUCAUGCUGCCAGCGCAUCCUAUACUUGGCCAAAGGUAUAGAACCUGAACUACCUAAUGGAUCUAUUAGUCUAUUUCGAAAAAGGUUCAUCUAAAAAUUAUUGGACAUUUCCUUAAUCUAACAACCUAACUUCCAAAGGGCAUAACUUGCUCAUACGAACUCGGAAUCGCGCAAACUUGGCCGCGUUGGAAAGAUCAUUCCAAGGGUUUUCCAACCAUAUCUGAAACUACACCUAACGCAUCCUGAGCUAGAAGUUAUGGCCGUCUGAAGUUGACCAAAAAUUCAACUUUAGCUUACUGACAAUUUUCCUGAUUUCCUUAUACUUUCCAAAAAUAACUAUUUCUAGAUUUUAAACUUCUUUCUAGUUGCGGGAUGUUACAAUAUCUCCCCCUUGGGAACAUUCGUCCUCGAAUGAGAUUUUCUCUUACUAAGCUAAUGGUAGUAACAUUAAGUUUAAACACCCAAAAAUAAAUGCAACAACCAACACUCUUACUCAUAAUUUAGAUAGUACUAAAACGAAAAUUAGUACCUUGGUCUGUAUUUUUUCCAGACUCGAAGAGAUGUGGAUGUCUCUUCUUCAUAUCCUCCUCAGCUUCCCAAGUAGCUUCCUCAACAAAUUGAUUCCUCCAAAGGACUUUGACUGAUGCUACUUCUUUUGUUCUCAACUUGCGAACUUGGCGAUCUAGAAUCUGAACAGGAACCUCCUCGUAGGAUAAGCUAUCCUUGAUCUCAAUAUUUUCAGUUGGUAUGAUCAAUGAAGGAUCGCCCAUGCACUUCUUCAACAUGGAGAUGUGAAACACCGGAUGAACCGCCGCUAGCUCUUGUGGUAGCUCCAACUCAUAAGCUACAUUUACCAUGCUUUUGGAUAUGUGAUAAGGCCUAAUAUAUCGGAGACUAAGCUUCCCCUUCUUACCAAACCUCAUAAUACCCUUUAUGGGUGAAACUUUUAAAUAUACCCAAUCAUUUACUUCAAACUCUAACGGCCUUCUCCUAACAUCAGUGUAGGAUUUCUGAUGGCUCUGCGCCGUUUUGAACCUCUCUUGAAUCACCUUCACCUUCUCCAUAGCUUGGUGAACUAAAUCUGGUCCUAUCAACCCUGCUUCACCAACUUCAAACCAUCCAAUAGGUGAUCUGCAUCUUCUCCCAUAAAGAACUUCAUAUGGAGCCAUUUGGAUGCUAGAGUGGUAACUAUUGUUGUAAGCAAACUCAAUGAGAGGUAGGUGAUCAUCCCAAUUCCAUUUGAAAUCAAUCACACAAGCCCUCAACAUAUCUUCUAAUGUCUGAACUGCUUCCCCAUCUGUCUGAGGAUGAAAUGCAGUACUUAAGUUCACCUUUGCACCCAAGCCUUUUUGGAAUGACUUCCAAAACUGGGCAGUAAAUUAUGCACCUCUAUAUGAAAUAAUGGAGACUGGAACCCCAUGAAGUCUUACCACCUCUUGAAUAUAAAGUUUAGCAUAAUUUUCUGCUGAGUUGGUAGUCUUUACCGACAAAAAGUGGGCUGAUUUCGUCAUCCUAUCGACAAUCACCCAAAUAGAAUCAUGCUGUCUACGCGAGACCUUGGCAAGCCUGUGAUGAAAUCCAUAUUAAUCAUCUCCCACUUCCCAUUCCGAAAGUUCUAUAUUCUGAGCCAAACCACCGGGCCUUUGGUGCUCUACUUUCACUUGUUGGUAAUUUGGACACUUAGCAACAAACUCCGCAAUGCCCUUCUUCAUGCCAUUCCACCAAUACACUUCUUUCAAAUCACGAUACAUCUUGGUGGAACCCGAAUGAAUGGAAUUACUGGAGCUAUGAGCUUCCUCCAUGAUCCUCUCUUGGAGUCCAUCCACCAUAGGUACGCAUAAUCUACCUUGAUAUCUCAAUACACCAUUUCCCUUUUAUUCAAAAGCUAAUACUCUUUGCUUAUGAACUUUUGCUUUUAAGUCUAGCAAAAUGGGGUCUUGGUCUUGCUUUUCUUUCACUUCUGACACUAAUGAUGACUCAGCCCCAUUCGUCACCACUAUUUCUCCUUCUGUGGAAUCCAUAAGUUGGACUCCCAGGUGUGCAAGUCUGUGCACAUCUUUUGCUAACUCUCUCAUUUCUUCCUCAACAUGGGCGGUACUACCCAUAUAUAACCUGUUUAAAGCAUCAGCAACAACAUUAGCCUUACCUGGGUGGUAAAGAAUACUCAUGUCAUAAUCCUUGAGUAACUCUAACCACCUCCUCUGUCUGAGAUUUAGCUCCUUAAUUCUGAGUAAACACAUACUGGAAACUCUUGUGAUCAGUGAAUACAUCAACAUGAACACCAUACAAAUAAUGACGCCAUAUCUUUAAAGAGAAUACUACAGCAGCCAACUCUAAGUCAUGGGUUGGGUAGUUCUUCUCAUGAACUUUCAAUUGUCUUGAGGCAUAAGCUAUAACUUUGCCAUUCUGCACUAACACGCAACCCAAACCAACUCUAGAUGCAUCACAAUACACUACAAAACCUUGUGUACUAUAACAUCUCGCAAUUUGAAAUAACUAAGAAGAAGCUUAAAAUUUGAAAAAGUCAUUUUUGGAAAGAAUUAAAAAUCUGAAAAUUUGCUAAGUUAGGAAAUAGUGAGUUUUUGGUCAACUUCAAAUGACCAUAACUCCUAUCUCAGGAUGAGUUAGGUGUAAUUCCAGAUAUGGUUGGAUAGCGCUUGGAACGAUAUUUCCAACGCCACCGAGUUUGCACGAUUCCGAGUUUGUAUGAGUGAGUUAUGCCCUUUGGAAGUUGGGCUAUUGGAAUAAGGAAAAUUCUAUCCGAAUUUUAAAGGGGUAGUUUGGUCUUUUCCUUACCCUUUUAUUUUAAUUCGUUUUAGUAAUAAUUUUAAGGGUUUAAACUGAUAGGAUUCAGUUUACGCUUUUAGAAAAAAGGUUAGGGAUUUGAAAGAAGAGAAAAGAAGAGGAGAACGAAGAAGAACAUUCAAGAUUCGUCAAUUCCUUGGAACUUUGCCUGUGGAAUUCGUCGGGGGUGAUCCCUACAAGGUAUGUGAGAUCUUUUCGUGUUGGGUUAGUUCACCCACACUCCAAUCUUAUUCCUAUUCAGAGAAUGGUUGUUGAUUGAAUGAAAAGUUAGUGAGUUCUUGAAGAACUUUGUUGAAAUUCGUUAAGUUCUUGUUGGUUGAGUUGUUGAUGCUUGGGGGUUGAGUUGAUUCAUGUUUCCGGGCUGUUUUUUGAGUUAGAUUGGUUGUGUAUUGAGGGUAGAAUUGAUCCUAAGUGUUUGGGGAAAGAACUAGGGAAGAUUGGAGGGUUUAGAGAAGAAAAAUGAAGCAUAAUAGUUGGGGUUCACCUGGGAAAGGGGUGGGACAUCGCGCCAGCCAGCGCGCCCCAGCAGUCCCUUUGAAGUUUGAGGGCUGGCGCCCCGCGCCUCUCAGAGCGCCAGGGACGCCAGUUCUCCCCAUACGCUCUCCACCUUUUAGUACUUGUUCCUUAGCAAUGUACCUAUGUUUCUAAGUUGAUUCCAACACUCUAAGGUACAUUCAAACAUCAUGAAAUCAUCCAUAAACAUGAGAUCAUAAGCCUUGAAUCCAUAAUCCAAUUCAAGGAAAGUUAGGAUCAAAGUCAAAGAAGUUAAGAGUCAAGUCUAGAAGUUAAGAAGCAAGUCAAAGCAAAGUUUCUUAAAGUUUUCAAGAGUCUUUAUUAAACGUUUUAACUUCGUUUUAAGACUUAGGUUUCAAGUUAAGCAAAGAGUAAAGAGUUGAGUUCAUUUCUCAUAAAAAGCUAUUAGGGAACUAAGUAUUCCUAAAGAGUUUAUGAAUGUUUUUCUCAUUUGAACAAGAAAAGGGAAUAUCUAUUCCAAGAGAGCCUUUAAGUUAAGUUUUUGAGUAAUUAUCUCAAACCAAAGAAAGAGUUUUUUUUUACAAACAUAUGAGCUAAGUAUAUUUUGGGAGUAGUAUUGAGCACCGAUAUGGGGAUGGGAGUUCAGAUAACUCAAGUCUUCAUAAACCAUGUAACCAUCAUGGGUAGUAAAGGAUCAUACUUUUUAGAUGGAUCCUUAAGAUGCUUUUAGCAUAUACUAGUGGAUCCACUUAGUUAAGCGUUCUAUAUGACAGUUCUGGCAGCGUGGGCAAGACGUUGUAUCACCACUUAGGCUCAUAGUGGUGGUUGUCGGUUAGAGAAUCUCCCACAAAAGUUAUAUUACUUUUAUAUUUAAGUAAAGUUGAGUUUGUUAUUGCUUUAUCUUUAACGAACUAAGUCGUUUACCUGUUUUACAAGCUUUAUAUAUAUUGCAUGUGUCUUAUUGCUUUAUAUUGAGUUUAGUUAUUCAUGAGUUAAACAGAGCCAAGGUAAGUGUUCCUUUAUACUCCUUUCAAGCUUAAGUUGUUGUUUAGCUUUCCAACUCGCAUAUUCGUACAUUCAAUGUACUGAUGCCAGUUGGCCUGCAUCCUCUUAUGAUGAAGACGCAGGUAAUCAGGAUCAACAUCCAGCGCCUCGUUGAUCCAGCUUGAGCACUCAGAGUCUGUGGUGAGCCUUAUUGCAUUCAGAGGACUCCUUUAUUUGCUUUCUAGUUUAGUUCAUUAGGAUGUUGUGGGGUUUGUCCCAACAUCCAUCUCAGUUGUUUUUAGAGGCUUAAUAGACAGUUAGUCAUUAGUUCUGCACUGCCUCAAUUUUCUGAGUAUCAACUUUAAUUCCCUCUCCAGACACAAUAUGGCCUAGGAAUGCCACAGACUCAAGCCAAAAUUCACACUUAGAGAAUUUAGCAUAUAAUUCCUUCUCUUUCAAAGUCUGAAGAACUAUUCUGAGAUGGCUAGCAUGAUCUUCUUCACUCCUAGAAUAGAAGAUUAGUAUGUCAUCAAUGAAGACGAUAACAAACAUAUCUAAAUAAGGUUUGAAGACUCUGUUCAUAAGGUCCAUGAACGCUGCUGGUGCAUUGGUCAAACCAAAGGACAUGCCAAAAACUCAUAAUGACCAUAUCUGGUUCUGAAAGUUGUCCUUAGAAUAUCACAUUCCCUUACUCUUAACUGAUGAUAGCCAGAUCUGAGGUCUAUUUUCAAAAAAUAAAAAGCACUCUGAAGCUGAUCGAAAAGAUCAUCAAUUCUUGAAAGAGGAUACUUAUUCUUGAUGGUAACCUUGUUCAAUUGACGGUAGUCUAUACAUAUCCUAAGGGAACCAUCUUUCUUUUUUACAAACAGGACCGGAGCUCCCCAAUGCAAGACAUUUGGUCGAAUAAAGCCUUUCUCUAAAAAGUCUUUCAACUGUUCUUUGAGCUCUUUCAACUCUGUUGGUGCCAUUCUAUAUGGCGGAAUAGUUAUAGGACGAGUAUCUGGAACAAAAUCUUUACCAAAGUCUAUCUCUCUCUCAGGAGGGACUCCAGGAAGAUCAUCUGGAAAGACUUCUGGAAACUCAUUCACUACUGAAACUGACUGAAUAGGGGGUACUUCAACACUUGAGUCAUUAACUCGGACUAAGUGAUAGACACACCCCUUAGAAACUAACUUCCUUGCCUUAAGAUACGAAAUGAAACGACCCUUAGGCACUGCUGAACUGCUUUUCCACUCUAAGACUGGCUCAUUUGGAACUGAAACUUGACUACUCGAGUUCUACAAUCAACUGAGGCAUAACAUGCAUAAAGCCAGUCCACACCAAGAAUGACAUCAAAGUCCACCAUGUCUAACUCAAUUAAAUCAGCCAUGGUACUCUGGUGAUUGACGAAAAUGGGACAAUCAUGAUAAACUCUAUCUGCUAGAAUAGACUCACCAACAUGUGUGGAAACACUGAAUGGUUCACUAAGUUGCUCAGGAAUAACAUUAAAAUUCAUAGCAACAUAAGGAGUUACAAAAGACAAAUUCGCUCCUGGGUCUAGCAAAGCAUAAACAGUUAGGUCAAAGACUUGAAUCAUACCAGAUCCACUAGUCUAUUUCGAAAAAGGUUCAUCUAAAAAGUAUGACCCUUUUCUACCCAUGAUGGCUACAUGGUUUUAUAGAGACAUGAGUUUUCUGAACUCAUGCUCGCCCCUAAUUCGGUGCUCAAUACUACUCCCAAAAUAUACUAGCUUUUAUAUUUUAAAAACAUACCUCUUUUCUGAUUUGAGAUUAAUGCUAAAAAACUUAGCUCAAAGGCUAUCUUGGAAAUCUCAGUUUCCCUGCUUGCUUCAUUUAGAAAACCAUUACUCUUUUCUGAAAACUUGUCAGAAGGCUCUUUGGAAAUCUCAGUUUCCGUUCUUAUUUAAAUGUGAAAACAUUUAUAAACUCUUUGGGAAUACUUAGUCCCCAUAUACUUCUUUGAAGAAAAGAACUUCAACUUUACUCCUUACUGAACUCAAAUCUUAAGUCUUAAAACAAAGUUUAAACAUUUGUGAAAGAUUUUUUGAAAACUUUAAGAACUUAUCUUAACUUGACUCUUGAUUUCUCUUGACUUUGACUCGUACCUGAUCUUGAUUUGGCUCUUAACUGAUCCUUGAAUUGAAUUAUGGAUUCAAGGAUUAAGAUUUGUGAUUGGAAAGAUCUCAUGUUGUUUAGGAUUGAUUUUAGAUAGCUAAACAUGAGAAAAGAUCAAAAAUCAAAAUGCGAAGGUGGGUCCGCGACGCGGAGACAUAAUUUAAUUUUGGUUCGAAAACGUCUUUUUGAGGCAGAACACCUCGUGUUAGCUCCGCGACGCGAAGCAGAAAUUUUCAAAAUCUAGGACCAGGCGCGCGACGCGUAAGCACUAUCAAAUUUCGUUCGAUGAAAUUUCUUCUUCGUUUCCUAGCACCAAUUCAUCCGAACUCGGUUCUUUUUCUUAAAUUACCUUUAGAUACAGAUACCUAGCACAUGCACCUAAGAACCUAAUUCGAAACGACUCUAUAAUGCGACGUAACGAACUUAGAAACUUCCCAACUCAGUCAAAUUCAAGAACAAUAUAUGAAUUCAAGAAUAGGCAUCAAGAUCAUCAAUAUUCAAACAAUUUUAGGAUGAAUCCAAACUGAAAUAAUAUGCUUGGCACGUGGGAAAACGAUCCCAACGUUAUGAGAGCCUCACAUACCUGAUCGAAGGAAAUUCUUAGCGAAAGCACCAAUGUUCUUGAUGAAAUUACCCCUUUCUUCUUCCUCAUUUCUCCUUAGCCCUAGCGUGAAAAUUUUGAUUUUCUAAAACUGACUAAGUUCUGAAUUGACCCAUAUUAAACUCCAAAAAUCGGAUUAAAAUAUUAGGGUAGUGAAAAGACUAAAAUACCCCUUAAAUUUUCGGAUUGGACAUUUCCUUAAUCCAACAGCCCAACUUCCAAAGGGCAUAACUUGCUCAUACGAACUCGGAAUCGCGCAAACUUGGCUGCAUUGGAAAGAUCAUUCCAAGGGUUUUCCAACCAUAUCUUGAACUACACCAAACUCAUCCUGAGCUAGAAAUUAUGGUUGUCUGAAGUUGAUCAAAAACUCAACUUUAACUUACAAUUUUCCAGAUUUCCUUAUACUUUCCAAAACUAACUAUUUCUAGAUUUUAAACUUCUUUCUAGUUCUUUCUAGUUGCGGGAUUUUACAUUUAUUGUUGAAACUAAAUAUAUUCUUAGAAGCCAUUUUGAUAUGAAAGAUCUUGGUGAGGCAAAUUUUAUUCUUAGAAUAAAAAUAACAAGAACAUGUGAUGAAAUUUUCCUUGACCAGUCACAUUAUGUUGAGAAAAUUUUGAAAAAAAUAUAACUUUCUUGAUUGCAAGCAUGUCGCUACUCCUUUUGAUUCAAGUGUUCACUUAUUUCCUGUUGAAAGUGAAAAUGAUGUAAUAAAUCAACGGGAAUAUGCUAGCAUAAUCGGAAGUUUGAGAUAUGUGACUAAUUGCACUAGGCCUGAUAUUGCAUAUGCAGUAGGAGUACUUGGCAGGUUUACAACCAAGCCUGGUAAUGAACAUUGACAUGCUGUAAUAAGAGUUAUGAGAUAUUUAAUUGGAACGAAAAAUUGUGGUUUGUUCUAUAAAAAAUAUCCUGUUGUACUUGAAGGCUUUUGUGAUGCAGAUUGGAACACUUGAUUAGGUGAUUCCUGUUCUACCACUAGUUAUGUCUUUACUUUAGGUGGUGGUGCUAUUUGUUGGAGAUAAAAAAAGCAAACUAUAAUUGCUAACUCUACCAUGGAGGCUGAACUAAUUGCUUUAGCUUCAGCUAGUGAGGAAGCGAAUUGGUUAAGAGAUUUGUUAUUUCAAAUACCUUAUUUUGAAAACCCAAUUCCUCUUAUUUUAAUUCAUUGUGAUAGCACCGCUACAAUCGGUAGAGUUCAAAACCGUUAUUACAACGGUAAAUCCAGACCUAUAAAGAGGAAACACAGUAAUGUAAGAUCGUAUUUGAUAAAUGGUAUCAUCAAUAUUGAUUAUGUCAAAUCUUGUGAUAAUCUUGCAGAUCCACUUACUAAGGCCUUAACAAGAAAAAAGGUUUGGAGCCCAUCGAGGAGGAUGGGAUUGAAGCCUAUAGAUCAUUGAGUCAUAUAUGAGGAAACCCAGUCUGGGGACUAAAGAUCCUAUAACCAGGUUCAAAAGGAAAAACUAAUCAUAUGAUGACUUGUGAAAAAUGCACGAUCUUUUUAUUCCCUCCCUAUGAUGUGAGUGUAUUGUUUCCUGUAGUUUGUGAAGGUUGAGUUGAUAAAACUCUUAAUGAAUAUCUGUAGCUUUGAUCGACUAACAUUAGGUGUGUGCACCUGUAUUCUACGCGUAAGUUUCUUAUUUUUAGCUUGAAAUGCGUUGAGGGAGGUUGUAUUUUUAAAGGAAAUGCAAUUUAUGUUAGGACCGAAAUAAGCAGGUGUAACACGGAAGCUAGCAAAGCAAACCUCGAAUACCAUGAGUAAGAAGACAAACGAGAAAUAUACAAAGACACAAAGAUUUAACGUGGUUCGGUCAAUCGACCUACGUCCACAAAGGAGAUGAGCAAUCCACUAUAUAAAUAUGAGAGUACAAAAUAUAGAGAGAAAUAACCUCAACCAAUUCACUCGGAAUACAUGGGAGGUUCACACAAGUGAUAACGUAUCAAGCUUGUGACCCACAAAUUCUCCCCCUAACCAAAACUCUCAAAGCCCUUAAGACUACAUUGUGAAUGCUGAUUAAGUUAGAAGGAACAAGCCUAUAUUUAUAGAGUCCUAAAACCUUUCCUACAAGAAAAGGAUUAGUCAAAAUAUUAAAACCUUUUCCUAAAAGGAAAACUUAUUUAUGAUAAGAAAUCAGGGCAAAUAACCCCAACAAUUUAUCAUAUUCAUAGUAUCACUACUAUUGCAUAAUUGUGAUUAGGAGGUACAUGACUGGGUUGGUUUGGGUUUUUCAAAUAUCAAAGCAAACUAUUUGUGUAAAAAUUUUAAAUUUAUAAACUAAAUCAAACUAAUAAAAUUCAGAUUUUUUCAGGUUUUUCAACCUCGGGUUGGUUCGGGUUUUUCAAAUACCAAAUCAAAUCAUUGUGUCGAAUUUUUUAAUUUAUAAAUCAAACCAAACUAAUAAACCUCGNNNNNNNNNNNNNNNNNNNNNNNNNNNNNNNNNNNNNNNNNNNNNNNNNNNNNNNNNNNNNNNNNNNNNNNNNNNNNNNNNNNNNNNNNNNNNNNNNNNNNNNNNNNNNNNNNNNNNNNNNNNNNNNNNNNNNNNNNNNNNNNNNNNNNNNNNNNNNNNNNNNNNNNNNNNNNNNNNNNNNNNNNNNNNNNNNNNNNNNNNNNNNNNNNNNNNNNNNNAAAAAUAAUAAUAAUGAAAUCGCGUAAAACAAAUAUUACAAAUUAUUAUGUCAUAAUGAAAAUGAUCAUAAUUUAAAAGUACUAAAUCAUGCUAAAAUUAAGUUUAAUAAGUAUUAGUUACAUUACUAAUAUUUAAGGAAAAUUAAAAUUAGAUUAUGUAUUUUAAUUGUCUAAACCAAUGUAAACUAAAGAACAAAUAUUCAAUAUUAUUGUCAUUCUUAGUGUUGAAUUGAUUUUCUUUUUGCAUUAGUAUUAAUUUGAUUUUGAUUUAAGUUUUAUUAUAAUUAUCAACAUCUAUGAACUAUAAUCUUUAUUGGACCAUUCCGAAUUCUAAGUUUUAAACUUGAAAUAAUAUAUUAAAAGAUAAAAACUAUGAAAUACUAUAAGAAGUAUUUUAAAAUUAUAUCAAUGUAAAUAUUUUUAUGUAUAAUAUAAAAUUUUAAAAUUAUAUAUAUAAUGUCGGGUUGGUUUGGUCUCUGAUUGGUUUUUUUAGUUAAAACCAAACCAACCCAAAUAUAGUCGGGUUUUUUUUCCCAAUACCCAACCAAGUCAAACCAAACCACUAGUCGGGUUUUUGGUUCGAUUUGACUCGAUUUGCGGUUUGGUUCGGUUUUGUUCCCCUAAUUGUGAUAUAUUUAAAUUUGAGUAGCCAAAUUUCGAGCUUUAAUUUCGUACCUGCAGUACUGGUAAACUGAAUCCGUCAAGCCUUACUAUAGAAUUGUAGAGCAUCAAGCAAGGAUUAAUCCAAAUUUAUCAUUUAUCUUUGAAUAUUUAUUUGGCUAUUAAAUCUUAUCUACAAAUAUUUUCAAUACAAAUAUCAAGUACUUACAAUUAUUACACAUUUUUUUAUGUGUCCUAUAUAGUACUGACAAAAUGACCCAUAAAAAAGAAUAUCAUGAGGGGACCAUGGCUCUUUUAAUAGCAAACAUGCAUGAUUGAGUUGAAUAAAUUUUUUUUAAAAAAAAUUGAUAUGUAAGUACUUGAUAUAUGCCUAGAUACAUAUUUCUUGCUACGUAAUAGAGAGAGGCGAACAAGAACACGAGGGAGGCGAGCAAAUUUAUCUAUGUAUCCUAGAUAAUACGUGUAUAUACAGUUCUCUCUAGCUUUAUACAAGCACAAACACAAUUUAUACAUUUGCGUUUGUAUAAAGUGAGAGAGGCGAGCCAGAGAGUGGUGAGUGAGAUUUCAGAGAGUGGCAAGCGAGAUUCAGGGGAGAGAGGCGAAUGACAAUGUGUUUGCUACGAAUUAGAAUUAAAUGAAACUGUAGCUAUACCAUUUAUUUUGAAUUAAUAGUUUGCUAUAAUGCACAAUUUUCCCUAUUAUAAACUAGCGUGAACCUAAGUAAAUAACUUCUAAAUUAGUGGGAUUUAUGUAGGUUUUUCAUUUUAAAAAAUAUAAGAUUUUUUUUAAUAAUUCAAAAUUACCGAAAAUGGGUAUACCCUACAAUUAAUAAAUUAAAUAUUUUAAAAAGUAUCUAUAAAAAAUAAAAUUAAAAUAAUAAAUGUAUUUAACUCUCAAACUUAGAAAAUCAUCACAUAUUGAGAUGGGAGAGAAAUAAUCUUUGGUUGGCAUUUGGCAAAGGAAACGAAUUUAUUUUCAAAAUAUAUAAGUUUUAUAUCAAAAAAAUUAAAUAUUUUAUAUCCAAAUAAUGCCACAUAAAUGCAUUGAGAUAAAUGAAAUAUUUUUCCGUGAAAAUUAGCAUACAAAAAUCAUAAAACAUGAAAAUCAAGUAAAAGAAACCUUUCUAUAAUCCUUUGCACAAGAAUAUUAAGAAUUUAUACAAUCGAUCACGAUUUGAAAACUAGUUUAUGUAAUUACUACUUCUCUAUUUCUUUUUUUCUUCUUAUUUUGCCAGUAUAUAUUUGUUCAUUCUGGUGAAGUGUAUAUACAUUCAGAUAAGAUCUAUUCUUAAAAUAUUGAAUUCAUGUGAAUUCAGAAAUCAACCGUUUUGUAUCUCUCUUCGAGACUUUACUUUUUUUUUGAAACUACACGUAAAUUCAAUUUUCACUGUCCUCCUUUAAAAUAUAAUAUUUUUUUCCUUAUCUUCAAUUUGUUCAACAUGUGGUUGUUAGACACCACUAGUAUGUAGUACCUAUUACAAUGAAGGCAACCUCUGCCUAUAAAUUUGUGUGAUGCACUCUUACAAAUUCACUCAAUUCCUUCUUCUACUCUUGCAUCUUGGGUUAUGUUGUAGAAAUGCCUGUGGUUGGUUAAUUAAUGGAUUAUUAUUGAAGUAAUUAAGCAGCCACAUGUCAAGAAUAAUUAGGGUUCAUUAUAACGUCUCCAUGUAUUCUUACUAUAUAUAAUGGAAUAAAUAAGUGUGGCUUAAUUAAAAGUGUACUACUUUUUCUGUUUCAAUUUUUUUUUUGUAUAAUUUUGAUUUAACACAUAAUUCUAAAAAAUAAAAUAAAAAUUUAAAUCUUGUGAUCCUGAAACAAAAAUAUGUUUGUUUUUUGUCUUAAUUGAAUAAUCUCAUGACCAAACAACUAAAUCUCUUGAGAGUCUUUCUUCAAAGAUAUUCAAAGUCUAUUAUUUAUCAAUAACAACGACUCCAUCAGUCUCAUUUUAUGUUAGGUAGUUUGACUCGGCACAGAGUUUAAGAAAGAAACGAAGAUUUUUAAAAUUUGUGGUCCAAAUGAACGAUAAAAAACUGUGUGGCUGUAAAUCAUUUCAUUAAGGGUAAAAUAGACUUUUUAUAGUGAAAUUGUUACUUAAUAUAAAAAUGUGUUAUUCUUUUUGGAGAUGACUAAAAGUGAAAGUAAGUCACAUAAACUGGGACAGAGGGAGUAAUAAUUUAUCGUAUAUAAACUAUAAUUUUCCAAUUAAGAUUAUUUGUUAGGCGUUACUCCUUCACUAUUUCUUUUUUUUUUCUUCUUGUUAUUUUAUCCGUUUGUAUUUGUGUUUUCUUGUUGGUAAAGUGUAUAUAUUUUCAGAUAAGAUUUAUCCUUAAAAUAUUGAAUUUUCGUAAUUUCAAAAACCAAUCCUCUGUAUCUCUCUUUAAAACUUUAACAUCUCUGGGACUAUAUAUUUAAUUAAUGUGCGGUAGCUAGGAUUUGAAUUGUAAUCCUCUGUAUCUCUCUUUAAGAUCACUUUAACAUCUUUGGGACCAUAUAUUUAAUUAAUGUGCGGUAGCUAGGAUUUGAAUUGUAAUUGUCAAACUAGUCCCCCUCUCCCGCCCCCCACCCCCAACUCCCUCCCCACUACACCCCAAAAAAUAAAAAUAAAAUGUGACAAUAUGUUAUACUUUCUUUGGAACAAAUUAAGAAGGUUGAGGGACCAAUAUGUAUUUAUUUUUAAUUAGAAGUUUUUGUAUAUACUUUUAUGGUUAAUUUUUUGAGUUGUAUAUACCCUUAAAACUAACAGAUGGACACGUGACUUCGCCUCAAUAAUUUACCUGAUUUAUUUAAUUUUUUACCCAAAAUCAAAUUCAAUAGAUUUACAUAAAUUUUAUAUUUGUUUUGAAAUUCAUUAAAUAUAUAUGUUUAAAUUAAAAUUUGGAACUCAUGUAUUGUUAUUUGAAUUCGUUAUCGUAAAUUUAGAAUUAUAACAUUUAACUCCUAAAUCCGUUUCUAUUACUUACAAAAUGAUUCAUCAAUAAAAACUUUUCAUAGCUAGAGACCAUAGCAUCUCUACUUUUGCUAGUAAAUCUUUUUAAAUUUCGUUUUAUAUUGUUUUUCGGGAAAAGGCUCAAAUAUACCAUCGAACUUUCAGAAAAGGCUCAUUUAUGCCAUCCGUUAAAAGUUUGGCUCAUCUAUGCCAUUACCGUUUAAGAAAAGAUUCAUUCAUGCCAUUAUUUUUUAACAGUGGUUUUGCAAAACCAUUUUUUACACGUGACCAAUUAUAAAAAAAAUCAAAAUUCUGAACAAAAAUUAAAUUAAAAUAACCCACCCAAGAAAAGACCCACCCAAAUUUUAAAAAAUCCCUAUAACCCAUCAGUAACCCAAUUAUUUCAUUCAAUUUUUUAAUCUAAAAGCCCUAAGACCCUUCUCGACCCUCUUUCACUUCUUGGCAUAUAUAUGAAUUUAGUAUCAUGUAGUGCUUAUGUUAUUUAGGUACUUUCUCAAGUAAUUUUCAAUGUAAUUUUAUUGCUUAUUUUUUUUUUAUUUUGGUACAUUGUCAACCACUAAAGCUCGACCAUGGCGGUCGGUAAGAACAAGCGAAUUUCCAAAGGCAAGAAGGGUCGAGAAGGGUCUUAGGGCUUUUAAAAAAUCCACUUACAAUUUUAAUUUUCUUUAAAAAAUGAGCUUACAAAUCCAACAUGUAUUUUAUAUAUUUAUAGAUCUUCUAUGUUAUUUUGUAACAAUCUUCUUUAAAAUAAAAUUAAAAAAACCUAUAUACAACUACAAAAUUUAUAAACGACUAUAAAAUUAAAUCUCCCGCUUUACCCUUAUCCAAUUUAUAAUAUACCGAUUAGUGGUAUUAGUGUAUAUGAUGUGUCCCCCACACACAAUACGUGAAUUAAAUUUUCACUGUCCCUCCUCACUUCUCGUAUGUAAUUAAAAAUAUAUCAAAACUUAAUAAUUUUUUCCUUUAUCUUCAAAUUGUUCAACGCGUGGUUGUUAGACACCACUAGUAUAUAGUACCUCACUAGUCACUACAAUGAAGGCAACCUCUGCCUAUAAAUUUAUGUGAUGCACUCAUACAAAUUCACUCAAUUCCUUAUACUCUUUACAACUAAAAGAAAAUGGAGUUAAAGUUUGCUCACAUCAUUGUUUUCUUUCUUCUUGCAACUUGUUAGUACCCUCCCCCCCCCCUCCCCCCUCUCUCUCUCUCUCUCUAAGAAUAUUAUUAGAGUUGUAAAUGAUUUAUAUUUCUUUUGCGAUAUGGGGUUGAGGGUGUGUGUGUGUGUGGGGGGGGGGGGUCACAAAGGAUUACCUUAUACUAUAUAUACAUAAAAAAAAUAGUUUGAUCUUGUAAAUAUAAUGUGACUAACCAGCAAAGCAGGUUUGAAAGGGAGACUUGUUCAAUGACUUUGUCAAUUGACAUCCUUUUGCUGAAAAAUUACAUUAUUUAGUGAAAAUGUUGACUCUCUUAGUGAAAAUGUAUAUAUUGACUCUCUUAGUGAUAAUGUUGGCUCUGCCAGAGUUCGGAUGAAUCUCCUUCUACCCUUGCUUGUGCCAAAAAAUUUUAGGCGUCAUAAUUUUCUGAUAAUCUAACUUGAAAUGAGAAAUACACUAAUUGCUAUUGAAAUGUUUUGUUUUUUUGGCAGCCUUUGAAACUCUCAUGGCACGAAAAGAAAGUGAUGGACUAGAAGCCAUAGAACUUCUAAAGGAAUUUCAAUGCAAUGGUAAAGUUCUUUUAAAGGAAUUUGCUUUUUUAGCUUCUCAAAAAAGAGUUUUUUCUACUAUUAAAAACACUUGUUUUUUUCUUAAAUCCUUGACCAAACACUUCAAUUCUCUGAAAUACUUUUUUAAAUAAGAAGUCAUUGUUGACUUUUCUGAGAUUUGGCCAAACAAGAUGUAGAUUAUUCAACUCUAGAAAAUUUUAUUAGUUCAGUUGGUUAAUUACCUAAAAUUUUACAUUAUUAAUAACGAUUUAAUUCUCCACCUUAAAAUCUCUUCCGCUACUGCCAUUUUAAAAAAAGAGUAUAUAUCAUGAAUCAACUUGAUGUCUGCUAUUAUAAUAACACAUAUAGAGUAUAUUAUUCUUGUUCUUAAUUUCUUUCUCUCAUUAUAAUUAAUUAUUAUGUGUAUAUGUAGGAAAACUAAGCUGGCCAGAACUUAUUGGUGUACCAACAAAGCUUGCUAAGGAGAUAAUUGAGAAGGAGAAUUCACUCAUAAGUAAUGUUCAUAUAUUACUGAAUGGUUCUCCAGUCACAUUGGAUUUUCGUUGUGAUCGAGUUCGUCUUUUUGAUAACAUCUUGGGUGAUGUUGUACAACUUCCUGUGGUUGGUUAAUUAAUGGAUUAUUGAAGUAAGAUGCCACAUGUCAAAAAUAAUUAGGGUUCAUGUAUGUUCAUUAUAAUGUCUCCAUGUACUCUUACUAUAUAUAAUGAAAUAAAUAAGUGUGGCUUAAUUAAAUCCUUUUACAUAUUGUGCAUUACUUUGGUUGUUUCAAUUUGUUUGUAUG
rnacentral:lncRNA from 1 species